rnacentral:rRNA from 1 species
AUUGAACGCUGGCGGCAUGCUUUACACAUGCAAGUCGAACGGCAGCGCGGGCUUCGGCCUGGCUGCGAGUGUCGAACGGGUGAGUAAUGCAUCGGAACGUGCCCAGUAGUGGGGGAUAGCCCGGCCAAAGCCGGAUUAAUACCGCAUACGACCUGAGCGUGAUAGCGGGGGGCCGAAAGGCCUCGCGCUCUUGGAGCGGCCGAUGUCGGAUUUGCUAGUUGGUGGGGUAAAGGCUUACCAAGGCGACGAUCCGUAGGUGGUCUGAGAGGACGACCAGCCACACUGGGACUGAGCCACGGCCCAGACUCCUGCGGGAGGCAGCAGUGGGGAAUUUUGGACAAUGGGGGCAACCCUGAUCCAGCCAUGCCGCGUGCGGGAAGAAGGCCUUCGGGUUGUAAACCGCUUUUGUUCGGGAAGAAAUCCUCUGGGCUAAUACCCCGGGGGGAUGACGGUACCGGAAGAAUAAGCACCGGCUAACUACGUG